CAUCCCUAACUAACUUUGAUGUUUCCUAGUUUUCUAAUUACUGUGCUGGUAAAGACAACUAAGAUACUGGGAAACAGAAAGAUUAACCUACAUCAUGUAAUGGAAAGUUUUUUUUUCUUAACUAUUGGUUUUUGUUUUAUUUUUGAACUCCAGUAGGUUGUUUUUGCUUGUUUUUCAUAAAUCUCUGGCAUUAGGUACUCAAAAUAAACAAAAUUUACCAAGUUUAUUAAACAUGUAUAUGAUUUUUUGGUAAAAAGGGAACCUUCAUAUUACAUGACAGCAUAAUAUAAUUGAAAGAAGUAAGUUCCUGGGAAUCAGGAGACCUUGACCUGGAAUUCCUUCCAUUGUGUGAUGCUAAACAGGUCACAUAACUUCUCUGGGAUUUGAUUUCCUCAUCAGUGAUGGGCGAAGUUUGAAUUACGUGAUCUCUCUUCCCUUGCAGUCUUACACUGGAAUAGUCUCACACUCUAUUUUAAGGGCCUCUGUCAUAUGUGUUGUGGAAACAAACUCACAAGCUGGAAUCCAGCUGUGUUUUAUUGCUUAAGGCAAAAAUGGUGCAGAAAGAUAAUGCAACUGACUCAUUGAAACAUAAAUCUCAGCAUAAUGAUUUAAACACUAUGACUUUGUAUUAGGCUGAUCACCAAGCAAUGUGAUCAGGCAACUUGACUCAACAUCAGACUGCACAAACUGUGAAGGGCAACCUGACGUUUUGGGUGCCCAGACCAAGCCUGUUGCUAAAAACAGCUUAAAGCGUUGGUUGAAAAAACUCUUGAUUGUUUGUAUUCAUGAGCUGGAAUACUCAGGCCAUGAAAUCAGUGAAGUUGGGAAGCCAGAGAAGUAAGCAUAGUACAUCUUCUGAGUGUAUUUUCUGACGUGGAUGAACUUGAGGGUUGAUUUUUACAUCUUUGCAAUUUUAUGGGGAUGGGUGACACCAGGAGGAGAAAGAAUGGCACCUUUGCUAGUAACCUGGCAGGAAAGGGAAUCUGGAAAAGAGAAAUGGAAAAAUGUCUACAAGGAAUUUUCAAAUGGUCAGCUCUGGAGUGUGUGCUCUGAACUUUCUCUUCCUUUGUUUCCAUAAAAUGCUUUGUCAAGUCCACAUUUCUCAGCAAUAUUUUUCUGUGAAGUGGAUUCAUUAUUUUGUGUGUGGUUGGGGGAGGAUGUUGAGGAGCUCAAAGAGAAGGACCAGGAGACAGAUGAAAUCCGAGUUACAUUUAUACCCGAUCUCCUAAUUUAAGCUGCCAAGGAUACUUUUUCAAACAUAGGGGAGAGGGUGGGGAAGAUUGAAUGGGCUUUGAGUAAAAACAGGAAGGUUGUUUUCUCUGAAAACUCAGUAUGAUGUUUGGAUAGUGCUGCUUAACCCAGACGCCAGAGUAAGACACAAACUGGGAAGACUCAUCCUUCCCUCUCUGGCCUAAAGCUGGACAUCCUCUGUGGAGGAAGUACACAGCCGUCUUUUUUGAACCCACAGUCCUGAGCAACCCUGAGCCACAGCACAAGAUCUGGCAGUAAAACAGUCAUGUGUGUCAGGAAAUAUACCCUGGGCAUGUGGACUUGCUAUUGUUAGCCUGGAGGAAAUAGCAGGACAGAGAGGCUAAGAAACUUGCUCAAGGUCACAAAGCAAGGAAGUGACAGCACUGGGAUUUGAACCUAGGCCACCUGACUGCAGAAUCAGCUUCCUCACCACCAUACUAGAUCCUAGAGGAUAGGUUCUGGAAAUCAGAUAUGUGGGCUGUUCCCAGGCUCCACAACUGUAUUCAAUAGACUGCAAGCUCCAUUGAAGUAAACUGGACAAGGCAAGGAGUAUGUCUGCUCCACUCAUCACUGUACACUCAGCAGCUGUUAAAUGAUAGGUAUUCAGUGUAAGGCCAACUGGCCCGAGGCAGGGGAACACAAUCAGAUUCACAGGUUGCAUCAGACCGAAACUCUCCGGACCACCCAGUUCCAGAAACUGACCUGGAGACAUUCCGGACCACCCAGUUCCAGGCACUGACCUGCGGACUUUGCACCCGGCCCAGCUUACCGCCUUCCGAGGGGCGGGACUAACCGUUCCCCAGGAUACCCGAAAAGACCACCAAAUAAGGAAUACCCUGCGCCCUCCCAGAUUCACCACACCCCUUUCCCUUCUUCCCCUAUAAAAUCUUGCCCAACCCUCGCCCGGGUGCGACUUCUCUGGCCCCUUUCUCUCGGACCAGUGAACCUCGCCCGGGAGCGCUCCCUAAUAAAGCUCCCUUGAAGCUUUCCUUUGUUUCGCGGUGCCGUUUGUUAAGAUCCGACCUUACAUUCAGUAAAUAUUUACAGAAUGAGUAAAAUGAAACAUAUCACUACAUACACAGGAUGUCUUCUCUCAUCCAGACUGGAAUUCUCUAUGCUGUACAAGUCGGUAGGAUGUACAAACUAGAGCAGAAGUACUUUAUUUUAUUUAUUUUUUUAGUUUUGGCUGUGUUGGGUCUUUAUUGCCGCUCGUGGGCUUUUCUCUGGUUGUGGCUAGCAGGGGCUACUCUUCAUUGCGGUGUGCGGGCUUCUCACUGCAGUGGCUUCUCUUGUUGUGGAGCACGGGCUCUAGGUGCAUGGGCUUCAAUAGUUGUGGCGCGUGGGCUCAGUAGUUGUGGCUCGUGGGCUCUAGAGCGCAGGCUAAGUAGUUGUGGCACAUGGGCUUAGUUGCUCCGCGGCAUGUGGGAUCUUCCCCGACCGGGGCUCGAACCCGUGUCCCCUACAUUGGCAGACAGACUCUUAACCACUGCGCCACCAGGGAAGCCCGGCAGGCAGACUCUUAACCACUGCGCUACCAGGGAAGCCCCAGAGCAGAAGUACUUUAAAUUGUUAUUUUGCUUUAAAAGAUGAAAGAGAAUGAUCUCUGAUAAACUCAUAGAGAUUAAAGGAAUAUGACACACCAACUUUAUAAAUGAGUGACCAGACCCAGAGUGAUAAGGAACGCUGCCAAAAUCACACCGUCAGUAAGGGCCAGGACGGUGUUAGAAUAGGCAAACCAAGCAUGUAUCAGGGAGGGGAGAGAGAGAGAGAGAUCAACUCUAACCAGCUCGUUCAAAAUGUAAAACUCACAAAAUCUAGAAAAAUAGUAGUCCUAAUUUCAGUGUACAGGUAAGUUAUGUGUCAUUAAAAAUAUUAAAGUGUUAUUUGAAUUACAUAAUGGGAGCCGUGGUGGACCCAUAGUCUUUUCUGUGCUGGGGCCUAGAAAGAUCUAAGUCCUACCCAAGCCAGAACCAGGAAGUGGACUCAGACGCCUUUGCAGAAAAAGGCUUUAGUCUCCUAGGCCUUCCCUGAUUUCCAAGGAUUCAAGCAGUAACUAAUAAGGGAAGUGAAAGAAUGCAGAAACAAGGAAAAGCAGACAAGAAACAAUAAUAGUUCAGUGAUAAAACACAAUCCUGGCCCUUACUGAUGGUGUAAACUUGGAAGAGUCCCUUACCACUCUGGGUCUAGUUGCUCAUUUAUAAAGUUGGUAUGUCAUUUUCCUUUAAUCCCUAGUUCCUCCUCAAGGGAUACCCGUAACAAUCCAACACGUAUCUUUAAGUUGUUCUGCAGGAACUAAGACCCCCCACCCAGGUGGAGGAUGAUGACUUCAUGCUGAGCACAAGCUUGUAGACCCCAGACUGGUCAGACCCAGGUUGAUGAUUGAGAUUCCUGAAACACCAUCCUGUUACCUCACCACCAACCAAUCAGAAGAAAGUCAUGCACUCUGCAACCUUCACCCCUAAUGUUGCCUUUAAAAACUCAUCCCUGAAAGCCAUCGAGAAGUUUGGGUCUUCUGAGUAUGAGCUGCUUGUUCUCCUUGCUUGGCCCUCGCAAUAAACCUUUCUCUGCUCCAAA